rnacentral:rRNA from 1 species
GUGGGGAAUCUUCCACAAUGGACGAAAGUCUGAUGGAGCAACGCCGCGUGAGUGAAGAAGGGUUUCGGCUCGUAAAGCUCUGUUGACGGGGACGAAUGUGCAGUAGUUGAAUAAAGUACUGUAAUGACGGUACCUGACGAGGAAGCCACGGCUAACUACGUGCCAGCAGCCGCGGUAAUACGUAGGUGGCAAGCGUUGUCCGGAAUUAUUGGGCGUAAAGGGAGCGCAGGCGGGAAGGUAAGUCGGUCUUAAAAGUGCGGGGCUCAACCCCGUGAUGGGAUCGAAACUAUCUUUCUUGAGUGCAGGAGAGGAAAGUGGAAUUCCUAGUGUAGCGGUGAAAUGCGUAGAUAUUAGGAGGAACACCAGUGGCGAAGGCGACUUUCUGGACUGUAACUGACGCUGAGGCUCGAAAGCCAGGGGAGCGAACGGGAUUAGAAACCCCAGUAGUCC